UACAGAGGUCCCAAGCGUUGUUCGGAUUCAUUGGGCGUAAAGGGUGCGUAGGCGGCGCGGUAAGUCGGGUGUGAAAUCUCGGAGCUUAACUCCGAAACUGCAUUCGAUACUGCCGUGCUUGAGGACUGGAGAGGAGACUGGAAUUUACGGUGUAGCGGUGAAAUGCGUAGAUAUCGUAAGGAAGACCAGCGGCGAAGGCGGGUCUCUGGACAGUUCCUGACGCUGAGGCACGAAGGCCAGGGGAGCAAACGGG
rnacentral:rRNA from 1 species